rnacentral:rRNA from 1 species
AGAGUUUGAUCCUGGCUCAGGACGAACGCUGGCGGCGUGCUUAACACAUGCAAGUCGAACGGAAAGGCCCUUCGGGGUACUCGAGUGGCGAACGGGUGAGUAACACGUGGGUGAUCUGCCCUGCACUUUGGGAUAAGCCUGGGAAACUGGGUCUAAUACCGAAUAUGACCAUGCGCCUCCUGGUGUGUGGUGGAAAGCUUUUGCGGUGUGGGAUGGGCCCGCGGCCUAUCAGCUUGUUGGUGGGGUAAUGGCCUACCAAGGCGACGACGGGUAGCCGGCCUGAGAGGGUGACCGGCCACACUGGGACUGAGAUACGGCCCAGACUCCUACGGGAGGCAGCAGUGGGGAAUAUUGCACAAUGGGCGCAAGCCUGAUGCAGCGACGCCGCGUGGGGGAUGACGGCCUUCGGGUUGUAAACCUCUUUCAGUGCCGACGAAGCGCAAGUGACGGUAGGCAUAGAAGAAGGACCGGCCAACUACGUGCCAGCAGCCGCGGUAAUACGUAGGGUCCGAGCGUUGUCCGGAAUUACUGGGCGUAAAGAGCUCGUAGGUGGUUUGUCGCGUUGUUCGUGAAAACUCACAGCUCAACUGUGGGCGUGCGGGCGAUACGGGCAGACUUGAGUACUGCAGGGGAGACUGGAAUUCCUGGUGUAGCGGUGGAAUGCGCAGAUAUCAGGAGGAACACCGGUGGCGAAGGCGGGUCUCUGGGCAGUAACUGACGCUGAGGAGCGAAAGCGUGGGGAGCGAACAGGAUUAGAUACCCUGGUAGUCC